rnacentral:lncRNA from 1 species
GCUGUACUGUUCAGAACUAAACAACUCUGCCACCUUUACUUUUUAGUGAAAAUUGCCGAUGACAUUACCCCGUUUAUUUUUCACUGCAUACAUCCAUCCAAAGCAAAGUUUCCUGACAAAGGUUUGAGAUGGUUUGCAUAAUUCAGAUCUCUAAAGUCAUCUUCGUAUUACAGUAGUAAUAUGUGGUGAGGCAUAUACAAUGUAUUGCAGUGAAGCAUAAUUACAUGUGGAAAGGAGCCACUUCGCAAUGUAUUACGAGCUAAAACAUAUUGUGCAGGAACCAUCGAUCGACAAUUAUUGUCAGUGUAAGCGAAUAGCCCGAAUGAACGAUUGAGCGAACGUUUUCCUUGUUGAGUCCGAAAAUA